rnacentral:rRNA from 1 species
UCGAGAAUUUUUCUCAAUGGGCGGAAGCUUGAAGGAGCGACGCCGCGUGGGGGAUGAAGGGCUUCGGUCUGUAAACCCCUGUCAUUUGCGAACAAACCUUUUUAUCUAACACAUAAGAAGCUGAUAGUAGCGAAAGAGGAAGGGACGGCUAACUCUGUGCCAGCAGCCGCGGUAAUACAGAGGUCCCAAGCGUUGUUCGGAUUCACUGGGCGUAAAGGGUGCGUAGGUGGCGGGGCAAGUUUGAUGUGAAAUCUCCGAGCUCAACUCGGAAACGGCAUUAAAUACUGCUUUGCUUGAAGGUCGGAGGGGAGACUGGAAUUCUCGGUGUAGCGGUGAAAUGCGUAGAUAUCGAGAGGAACACCAGUUGCGAAAGCGAGUCUCUGGACGAUUCUUGAGACGGGGGCACGAAAGCUAGUGGAGCAAGCAGGUGUAGAUACCCCUGGAGGU